rnacentral:rRNA from 1 species
GAUGAACGCUGGCGGCGUGCCUAAUACAUGCAAGUCGAGCGAACGGACGAGAAGCUUGCUUCUCUGAUGUUAGCGGCGGACGGGUGAGUAACACGUGGAUAACCUACCUAUAAGACUGGGAUAACUUCGGGAAACCGUAGCUAAUACCGGAUAAUAUUUUGAACCGCAUGGUUCAAAAGUGAAAGACGGUCUUGCUGUCACUUAUAGAUGGAUCCGCGCUGCAUUAGCUAGUUGGUAAGGUAACGGCUUACCAAGGCAACGAUGCAUAGCCGACCUGAGAGGGGUGACGGCCCCCACGGAAAUUGAACACCGGCCAAGACCCCAAGGGGAGGCACAGUAGGGAAUUCUCCCGAAUGGGCGAAAGCCUGACGGAGCAACGCCGCGUGAGUGAUGAAGGUCUUCGGAUCGUAAAACUCUGUUAUUAGGGAAGAACAUAUGUGUAAGUAACUGUGCACAUCUUGACGGUACCUAAUCAGAAAGCCACGGCUAACUACGUG